UCUGAGAUCUCUCAUCAGAUCUGUUCUGGCAGAUUUCAGAAGGAUGAAGUGUUAGGCUAUAUCCAGGAGGAAGGGGAGCAAAUGAGGCCUGCAGAAAAAAUAGUGGAGGUAAACUGCAGAAUGCAGGCAGUGCUGAAGCAGGAGUGAAAGGGUGAGUGCUUCUAGGUAAGACCAGAAAGGCAGAACUAGACCAAGGAGAGCAGUUAGCCAUGAUAAGGAUUUGAAUUUUUAUCCAAGACUUUAAUCACAGCUCACAUUUAAUUGAGUACUGACUAUGCCAAGCAGUAUGCACAACUCAUUUUGUCUUUUUUUUUUUUAAGAGUUUAUUUAUGAGAGACACAGAGAGAGACAGAGACGCAGAGACACAGGCAGAGGGAGAAGCAGUCUCCAUGCAGAGAGCCUGAUGUGGGACUUGAUCCCAGGUCUCCAGGAUCAUGUCCUGGGCUGAAGGCAGCGCUAAACCGCUGAGCCACCAGGGCUGCCCUCAUUUUGUCUUCAUUAUAGUCCUGUGAAGUAGAUCUAAUCUCCAACAGAUGAAUGAGGCACAGACAUGCUAAGGAACUCCCCAAAGUUGCAACACAGCUGGUGAGUGCUGGGGUGGGACUCAAAUCCAGCAAUCUGGCUACAGGAAAUACUACCCUGGAAUUCCAGUACAACAGGCUGGUAGGGUCCUCACAUCCUUUGAAAAAAUUGCAGUGAGAAGGAUCAUGUUGAGUUGGUGGGGUGUCGAGAAGGGAUGGAGAGUGAUUAUUUAGAAAGCAGCUCCUACAAAUGAGGAUGGUGGUUUGGAAUGGAGAGGCAGCAAUGGAGGUGAAAAGUAGGUAAGUUUGAAAAUUGUAGGAGAUAGAACACAUGGGACUAUUCUCCACACACCACAGGAAGCGCAGUUGUGAAUAGCUCCGUAUUCCUUGGAGUCCAGAGUGUUCCAGCCCUGGAAGUUUGACAGUUUGUUAACUAAAGGAAUGCCAGCUGGCUGACUGGCAAGAGUGAAGGAAACCCCUCAAGGUUGCCCCUGGGUGUUGGGGUUGGGGGGUGCUAGGUUUCCGAGGCAUUUGUUGAGCAUCCCAGAGGGUCUUUGGCGCC
rnacentral:lncRNA from 1 species